UACGAAGGGGGCUAGCGUUGCUCGGAAUCACUGGGCGUAAAGGGUGCGUAGGCGGGUCUUUAAGUCAGGGGUGAAAUCCUGGAGCUCAACUCCAGAACUGCCUUUGAUACUGAAGAUCUUGAGUUCGGGAGAGGUGAGUGGGAACUGCGAGUGUAGAGGUGAAAUUCGUAGAUAUUCGCAAGAACACCAGUGGCGAAGGCGGCUCACUGGCCCGAUACUGACGCUGAGGCACGAAAGCGUGGGGAGCGAACAGGAUUGAGAU
rnacentral:rRNA from 1 species